UUUGGAAAGGAGGGCAACUGCCUUCUACCGAAUAUCUCCUGUGUUCUAGAAGCUUUACCCGUGUGAUCCGUCGGCGUUAACAUCGACACUAUGAAGUUACCCUCAGAAAGGGACACUGUGCCUUGUUCCACUGGCUACUAGGAAGCUCAAGAAUAAACGACAGCCCUCGUCCUUCGUGAAUUAUUCAGAAAUUUAUGGCAACUUUUUCCAGAACUGACCGCAUGCCUCGCAUCGUUUUAUUUUGCUUUCAUCCUUAUUUACUCAAUUGAAAUUUUAUCAUGCUGUAGUUUCCACAAGCUAUUUUAAAAAUAUGGAUUGCAAAUAGAUGAGCUUAUCUCAGAUAUGCCCUUUGAGACUGUUUGAAGAUGGUCUGUCCACUAGACUUUAUUGUAUCCUUGCUUAAUGUUUUAGCUCUGCCUUUAAGGAAUAAGUGAAAACACAUGUGCAAGACAAAUCAUUCCUUGUCCUUCCAAAUAUGCCAUGAACUGCCUGAUCAAAGGGAAAUGAGAAAAGCCACUUUUCAGACAGGGCCCCAGGGGUCCCUGAACCAAACCAGUCUCUCUGGGGCUGGAAAGGACAGAUCCCCCCAGUCUGCUCUGGUUCCCCAAAGCACCUGCCGGACCCGGCACCUUUGCCCUCAUCAUCAAGGAGGAGAAACAUAGAUACAAUCUUUUCUGCCUGUUAGGACUGUGGGAAAUAAUAUCACAGACAAUCCCUGAACCCCCAGGAGGCACCUCCUUCCGGUAACAAGGAAGCAGAUAAACUGGAAAUACCUGGCAGGUGAAUCUCUAAGACAAACCCGUUUGAAUCUGUGGACGCAUGGCUGAUCUGCUUUCCAUAUUAGGAUCAGAGCAAUUGGAUUCCUCGUCUUUGGGUCCCAAAGCCAUCAUACGAUAAUGCGAGGCUGACCGUUUCAUGUACCUUUAUGAGCCCCACGUGUGGCUCCUUACUGUGUUUAGGUCUAAAGAUGAAUUGCUAAGCUUGGUCUAUGAGUCUCCAUGAGCUGGCUCGUGCCUGCUUCUCAUUCUUUUUUCUGCUCUUCCCCACCAUGCCCACUGCCAACCGACAUCGUCAAAGUACUUUUGGUUCCGAAAUUGUGAAUGCUUUUGUUGAAGCUCAUGCAUUUUCAGUUCACGUUUCCUUGGCUAGGCAUGCCUUUCCUCUUCCUUUAAGAGGAUGAUGAUGAUGACGAUGACGAUGAUGAUGGUGGUGAUGAAGAUGGUAAGCCCUAGUUAAGUCCUAUACUUUCUUCAUGCCCAUCCCAACACAUCACUGGGGAGCUUUCCCUUUUACUCCUCAGGAUGUCUUAGGUGUCCCCUGCCCCUGUGGUGAUCUCCGAUGACACCGCCACCUUUUACAAUAUUGUGUUUGUGAGCCUCUUUUCUCAAUUAGCUUCUGGUUCCUUGAGGCCAAAUGUCCUAUCAAGCUUACCCUUUCAUCCCCAGCCAUUAUUAGCUCAGUAGCUGGUAUUUAUGAGAUGCAGAAUAGGUGUUUGCCAAAUAAUGAGUGGGUAAGUCAAUCAGGCCCCCAGCCAGUUCUAAUGGUUAAGUGAGUCACAAAGGACAAAACAGCAUGGACACAGUCAGAGGAUUCUGGCGGAGGAAACUACUCUUUGAACUGACGAGUGUUUAUCUCACCUCAGGUCCAAGGUGGUGGAGACUUAUUUCACUUAGCACAAUGCCUUCCAGAUCCUUCUGUAUUGUUGCACAUGGAAGAAUUUCCUUCUUUUUAAGGCUGAAUGGCAUUCCAUUGUAUGUGUGCACCUUGUUUUCCUUAUCCAUUUAUCUGUCGAUGGACAUGUAAGUUGCUUCCAUUUCUUGGCCAUUGUGAAUAACGCUGCAAUGAGUAUAGGAGUUCAGGUAUCCUUUUGAGAUCCUGAUUUUAAUUUAUUUGGCUAUAUAACCAGAAGUGGGAUUGGUGUAUCACAGGGAAGUUCUAGUUUUAGGUUAUUUUGAGGAAAUACUAUACUGGUUUCCAUAAAAACAAAUAUGACACAUACGAUGAAUCUAAAAUUGUCAAACUCUUAGAAUCAGACAGUGAAAUGGUGGUUGCCAGGAGCUGCAGGAGGAAGAAACAGGAAGGCAUUGGCCAGAGGGUACGGCGUUUCAGUUAUGCAAGAUGAAUAAGUCCUAGAGAUCUAUUGUACUGCCUGGUGUUUAUAGUUAACAGUACUCCAUUGUAUGCUUAAAAACCUGCUGGGGGCAGAUCUUACGUUGACUGUUCUUAUCUUAAAUGAUAGUCAUAAUAGUAAUAAAUAAGAGGGCAGGAGGAAACCUGUGGUGGUGAUGGAUAGGUUUAUGACAUAGAUUGCGGUCAUGGUUUCAUAGGGGAACACUUAUCUCCAAGCUCAUCCAUUGUAUGCGAUAAUUACGUACAACUUUUUAGAGGUUUGAAAAAUGGUGAAGGAGAAAGGCAGGGCAUUUCCUUCCACAGAAGGAUUGGAGGGGGUGCAAUGGGUCUGGCUUCAGCCUUUCCCCUCGUGAGUUUGGGCUUGAGAUGACCACUCACCCGGGAGAACGUUGAGUCCGCCCCCCGGAGUGGCAGGCAGUGGGGACGGCCUGACGGAGUGAGCAGAGACAUGUUGGAACAAGAAGCUGCAGGGAUGUAUUUUGUAAGGAAGGGAGCAGCAGAGAAUGUAGGGUUUCACCAAUGGCCUCAUAGUCAUUAUGCAGAAUAUUGGUACUAUCACAACAGGAUUCGGGGCAGGAGUAACCCUAGGCAGUGAGGACAAUGGCAGAAGGGAAAGGAGGCAUGAGACAUUUUUCCUGAUAAUAGAGCAAAGAGAGAGAGAAGAAAAGAUGAGCUACAGCAGUGCUAUCUGAUAAAAAACAUACUGAGGGACCCACACGUAAUUUAAAAUUUUCUGAUCACUGCCUAUUAAAAGAACAUAUAAAACCUACAAAAAGCGACAAGUGAAUUGUCUAAUGAUGUAUUUCUUUUUCACCCCGUGUAACCAAACUAUUAUUUCAAUUCUCAAAUCAUAUGGAAUUAUUAAAGAGAGAUUUUCCUUUC